UACGGAGGGUGCGAGCGUUGUCCGGAAUCACUGGGCGUAAAGGGCGCGUAGGCGGCCCGACAAGCGUGGGGUGAAAGUCCGGGGCUCAACCCCGGGUCGGCCGUGCGGACUGGCGGGCUCGAGCACUGUAGGGGCGGGUGGAAUUCCGGGUGUAGCGGUGGAAUGCGUAGAGAUCCGGAAGAACAUCGGUGGCGAAGGCGGCCCGCUGGGCAGGAAGGCCCCCUCACGGGGGGCCGGCUGACGCUGAGGCGCGACAGCGUGGGGAGCAAACAGG
rnacentral:rRNA from 1 species